CCUUAAGAUAGAGUCCAGUUCACUUUUGGUAAUGUUACUCAUUACUUGUUAUAUCUAGCACUUUCAGACUCGUCUUUCGGAACAAAUUCAGCAUUUACCAAUGCCCAGCAGUCUAUCCUAUUUGCUUUUAUAUACAUCAACUAUGGCAUAUUGUUUAACACCCUGGAAGAUGCCAUUUUAAUCUAUUAUGCUCUGGACCAAGCCAAGGAUCAAGAAAAGGCAACAGUAUCUGAAUUGAGUACCAAGGACUGAAGACUGAAGACACACUGAAGAAAGGGAAUUUUAAGAGAUGACAAGGAGCCUAGAAGAAAAUGACAACAUUCUUAGCAGGAACUUCAUGAAUACCCCAAAAAGAAGAGAAAAAGGAAUUCUAGAAACCAAGAACUAGGCAUUAUUCCUUUGCCACAUAUGUUCUCCAACCUUUAGCCUACUUUACCCUGUACUCAAGUAUAUACUAGUGAGAGUUUGUCACAAAUUUGGGGGGGGAUGUUUUAUACCAACUACUCUUAUUAUGCCCCCCCUUAACAAAUGCCCCUUUCUAGAAAGCUAAUUGUUUGGAUGACUAAUUGAUAAGGAAGCACAUCCCCAUAUAGAGGCUUAUGAGCUUUAACAUUAGAAAGACAGUCCCUAGCUCUUCAGGGCUGCUCCUAGAACCCAGAGGGAACCCAGAUACCCACUAAGGACCCAGCUUUCCAGUAUGAGAGGGGAUUAGGGAGAGAAGCUCCAGGACAUCAUUCAUGAUGGAGCUAUUCAUUUGCCUGGGGAGAGCUCAUCCUGAAAAAAGGAAGAACACAAUAACUUUCACAGGUAAAAAGCUAUGUUUUGUUUUUUCCAAGGGGAGAAGAAAUCUUGAUGUAUUAGAUAAAGUACUGAACCUGGAAUUCAUCUUGACACAGGAGCAAAUCUCACCUAGGGCACCCACCACCUAAGUGACUGAAGCAAAACACUUAAUCUCUCUGGCCUUAGUUUCAUUAUCUACAACAGGAACUGGCAAACUUUUUCUGUAAAGGGCUAAAAAUUAUAGGGUUUGUGGGCCAAGAGACAAAUUCAAGGAUGUUAUGUGGGUACUUAUACAAUGAGAAGAAACAAACUUCCAUAAAAUUUUUAUUUAUGAAAUUCAAAUAUAAUAAUAAUGAUUGGCACAUUUUUUGUACUAGAGGUCUACUGAUUAGAAAAGUGGACUUUGUUUUGGGGGCAAGUAACACUUUGCUUAAUUGGGGUUCAAAGUUAUCAUCAAAAUUAAUUGCAAGUAUUCUUUGUUAAUGCUGAUCUGCAAGGAGGUUUUACAUAUUUCCUCUCUGAAAAUGUCUUUUCACAUAGGAGGUACUGCCAAAUACUGAUUUCAGUCCAUAAGCAUGUGGUUUUAAUUGAACAUAUUCAUCGCUUGGAAGGCAUUUAUAGAAUUUUAUUAGAUUCUUCUCUUGAAAUUUGCCUUUUAACAUGUCAUUGCACUGCAAAUCAAUCACUGACAGUUGACGGUUAGGUGGAAGCACCUCAAUUGAAUAGUUAAGUGAAUUUUGAAAUGGGGGAAUUUGUUUUGAGCUGGGAUCAAGGUCGAUGAGUUCAUGGCGUGUCUACUCCUAGCAUGUGAAGACUUCCCCCAGGUAGAAUGGGAGGAUGAGCACAAUUUGUUCCAACAGCCAUGAAGGC